rnacentral:rRNA from 1 species
GCGGCAGGCCUAAUACAUGCAAGUCGGACGGGAUUUGGGAGCUUGCUCCCGAUGAGAGUGGCGCACGGGUGCGUAACACGUAUGUAACCUACCUUUAUCAGGGGGAUAGCCUCUCGAAAGAGAGAUUAAGCCCGCAUAAUAUGAAGACACAGCAUUGUGAUUUCAUCAAAUAUUUAUAGGAUAAAGAUGGGCAUGCGGAACAUUANCUAGUUGGUAAGGUAAUGGCUUACCAAGGCUACGAUGUUUAGGGGAUCUGAGAGGAUGGCCCCCCACACUGGUACUGAGACACGGACCAGACUCCUACGGGAGGCAGCAGUAAGGAAUAUUGGUCAAUGGGCGCAAGCCUGAACCAGCCAUGCCGCGUGCAGGAAGACGGCCCUACGGGUUGUAAACUGCUUUUGCAGGGGAAUAAACCCCACUACCUGUAGUGGGUUGAAUGUACUCUGAGAAUAAGGAUCGGCUAACUCCGUGCCAGCAGCCGCGGUAAUAC